rnacentral:rRNA from 1 species
GGGAUAACCUUCCGAAAGGAGGGCUAAUACCGCAUGACAUCCCGUGUUUGGAUACACGGACAUCACUCUCCGGGGAUCGCAAGACCUGACGCUUGGAGAGGGGCCCGCGUCCGAUUAGCUAGUUGGUGGGGUAACGGCCCACCAAGGCUUCGAUCGGUAUCCGGCCUGAGAGGGCGGACGGACACACUGGAACUGAGACACGGUCCAGACUCCUACGGGAGGCAGCAGUAGGGAAUUGUUCGCAAUGGGCGCAAGCCUGACGACGCAACGCCGCGUGGAGGAUGAAGACCUUCGGGUCGUAAACUCCUUUCGACCGAGAUGAAUACCUUUGGACCUAACACGUCCGAAGGCUGACAGUAUCGAGGGAAGAAGCCCCGGCUAACUCCGUGCCAGCAGCCGCGGUAAUACGGGGGGGGCAAGCGUUGUUCGGAAUUACUGGGCGUAAAGGGUUCGUAGGUGGCCGACUAAGUCAAACGUGAAAUCCCUCAGCUUAACUGGGGAACUGCGUCUGAUACUGG